CCCUGGGGGAAUGACAGGAGGUGGCUCAGCCCAGCACUUGUCUCCCCAGACCUCCCCUUCUGGGCGAUCAUCCUCAUCUGCUUGGUGGGGCUCAUGGUGCCCAUCACAUGCCUGAUCUGCUGUCUCCUGGUACAUUUGUCAUUCUUGCCAACAACAGAUGAAGAAACUGAGGCACCGAUGAGGUGUGAGAUCCCUGACAGUGGAGACUGUGCCUGGGAAGUUCUGAAAGGCCUCACAGAGAUGCCAUUUGCUGCAAGCAGAAUGAUAAGUAAGCCAGUUACUAACCACUUAGAGGUUGCACAAGGAUGUGCACUAGAAGACAGCAAGCCCGUUGUGGAGGCUGCCCGCCACAUAGGCCAACAUGAGGCACUUUGGUCUGAUUCUAAGUCAAAAGGAGACCAUGGAAGUUUUAAUGCCAGUGAAUGACAAUAUCUGACUUUCCUCUAAUUUCGGCCCUUUAAAGGUACAGACCUAAAAACAAGGCCAAGAGGGGCAGUGACUUUCCCAAGAUCACAGAGCUGGAACCCAGGCCUGCUUUGAGAGGUAUUCCACGCUACAUCCCACCCCUUCUUGUCAUUCUUUCAUCUCUAAGUUUGUGCAUCAGACCCAUGUGACACCAGCCUGCAGGUGUUAUCGGUAUUAUCUCUUAGACACCUGACAAUGUCCCUGGGAAGCUAUUUCUAACAUCGUCCCCAUUGUGCAGGUUGAGAGAUUGAGGAGGCCCUGAGAGGCACAAUGAUGUUUUCAGGACACAGACUUGGUUGGAAAAAAGAGAUCUGGACUCAGCUGUGUGUCCUCCAGCUGGAACCCUGGUUCCAUUCUCAAGGUCCUGUGUGGGGCGCUGUGCUGGAUAUUUGCCUACUGCUAUGGAGAUGACAUGGGCAAGGAGGGUGAGAGUCAAGAGCCGAGAGGGGGUUUUGGGUGGGUGUGAUUGAUGAAAGGGGACCAGGUAAUGGAGCCUUGGAGAAGUGUUCACCUCCUUGGUGACAGGCCCCAACAGAACUUAGCACUCUGGACUCCAGGCACCCACAUUAGACAUAGCUUCCUAUUGAGCUCACUUGAGUGGAGACACUCAACACAACAGGAUGUUCUUGUCUUGUAUCCCAACUCGUGGAGGCUCUGGCUUCUGGAAAGCCGAGAAUUAAUGAGAGUCUUUUCAGUCACUGUAGACAUUGGCUCAGCCCUCACCUGCAACACCUCUGGCUGUUUGGCAGGAGGAGCCCUCAGGUAACACAGGACAGGCCACUCCAGGUCAGGCCACAGCUGGAUCCCACCUGGAGACCCCCACAAACCUUGACCCUCAUUUUAUGUCAGGGGAGUAGAGUGAGGGACGGUGGGGCUGAGCAGGGACCCACCCUGGGCAGGAGCAGGUUGCUGGGCGUUGGAAGCCUGGCAGUGUCAUGUUCCUAGCCCAGGUUGUGGCUGCCAGGAUGGGAAGGUGAGUGCUGGGGACCAAGCUCCUCUACCCGUAUGUUAAUCCUGAGCUCUCUGGGUGUCAUCUCAUUCCCUCUCUGGCUGGAGGUCUACGUAGAUGCCCCUCUGUACCUGAUCUGUUGUGGGAGUUUCCCCCUGUGGCCAAGUCGAGGCAGGCCCCUGAGACCUCCUGGCCCGGCUCUUGGGCACUGUCUUUGCAAAGCUGCACAUGGGAGAUGGUCAAGGACCUGGCAGAUGACUUCGGCUACUUCCUCUCCCCGGAGAGGGGGCAGGUGCACCAUGCCACCAAGAAUGACCAGGGCUGGUCUGAGGUGAGAGUGGGCACAGAUGGGUCUCCCUAUCCAGGACCCUGAGAUGACCAGGGCUGGCUCAGAAUCCAGAGUCAAACUGAGAUUUCCCCGGGUACCUAACAGGGCUGUCCCACCUGAGUGUCCCAUGUUCCCAUUCCCAAAGGAAUCUGGACUUCCGCUCCUCCCCACCAGCUGCCUAGGAGGGUGGGAAGUCCCUCUUUGCACAUUCCUAGGAAGAUUAGCAGAAACAUUAGCCUGGUUUUCACUUCCCACUAGGAUGUGAGUAUCUUUGAAUUUUGCCUUUUUCUGAACCUGGGACCCCCAUAAUGAGGGUCUCAAAACUCCCUUUAAUGUAAGAGAAAGAACCAUCAGUGUCUUUUUGAAGUCAACAGGAUUCUCACAGGGUAUGUCUGCCCUCUACAUUGUCUCCAAACUAGGGAGGGGUGGGCCUCCCACAGAACAUUUCCCUCCAGGGCGAGGGCAAAUGAAGCCUCGGGCAGUUUAGAGGGAUGGUCUGUCAGCCUUCAUUUGGGGCAGUUCUCAGUUCUGACCCACAGGACCUUGAGAAGCCCCUUGGCAUGCCUAAGCCUCUGUUCUCAUCUCUAUAGAGGGGGUGUCUGUUGAGGAUUCACUGGGCUGGUGAUCAUCAUACAGGGAGGUCUGUUGUUCCUCAGUGAACAAAUGGCCUUGAGGGAGCUCACUGGAGAAUCCUUCCCCGCCAAACUCAGAUUGUACUUUGAAAGCCCACAACCUUGUUCAGUGUGGGAGCUCCUGUCCCUCCUAUAGCACACGUCCCUGAGGGGCUGGGUGUUCCUGGGUGAGAUGCAGACCUCCAUUCUCCCGGUGGUUCAUGGUGGUGCCACUGACUCUAUGUCCCUCCUUGUCCCACACAAUGUGAAGAUGAGACCACUGUGUGUCUAAAUGAGGCUUGCAGAAUGGGCACCCUCCAGGCAGGUGUGAUGGAGAAGCUGACAGAGUCCAUGGUCCCAGCCUUCCCGGGUAGACUCAUCUGCAAUGUCACCACCUUUGUGUGCAACUACUCAGCCUUCAACACUUCCCACCAGGUCCUGGACCAACUGUUUACCAGGUGACUGCCCGCCUCCUCCUCAGCACAGUGGUGACUCUGCCCAUUGCCAGCUGUGUGUCUCGGGAACGUCACCACAUCUCUCUGAGCCUCAGUUUGCUCCUCUGAAAAGUGGAGUUGGGGAGGAUGAACUUCCUAGGGUUCUCCCAGGGAUGAAUGGGCUCAGCCAUCCAGGUGCUUCCCUGGUGGCUGGCUCUGCAGAGAGGGCCAUGGGCCAUGCUAUGGCUGUUCUUGGUGAGCAUUUCUCUGUCCUCCAUGAAAAGUAGUCUUCCUCUCCCUUCACUGGCUUGUGGCUUUUUGAGUUUGGAAAACUACCUAUAGAGCACCCUGUCAAGGAGUUUGAGAUUCCAUCCAGCUGGUCUUAGUGCUUGUCCUUGGUAUAGCCAAUUAGGGAUCUCUGGGGCCACAGAGGGGCCCCAGACCCACUCAGAUACCUGGGGUGGUUCUGGUUGGAGUUCAUUCAGCAAUUAAGUGCCUACUCCACUCAGGACUUUUGAAGACACUUAGCAUAACUCAAUGAAUGAAGCAGACACCAUCCCUGGUCCUCAAUUCUACUCUGAGAGUCAGGCAGUCACACUCGAAAUCAUUCACAGGUACUGUCCAUUAUACAAACCGUGUGAUGCCCUUGUAUCUUCUUAGACAUAUGGAGGCAUCUUCCCACAUUGUGAGUGGGAUGAUGGACCACAAGACCACCUGAAAAAGUGAGUGGUCUUUGGGUGAAGAAGGAGGGCCUCCUGUCUCUAGAGAACAUGUUUGAGGGAGAGUAUGGGGCUGUGGCUUUGGCAGGCCUAGCAGAACCCUGCAUCUCACUCAUCUUUUGAUUCUUAUGGGAGGGCUGAGUUCUGGCGGCUUCCACUCCAGGAGGACAGGAGUCAAAGAGAGCUGUGGAUGGGUCUCAGGCCCCCUGGGAACCAGAAGGGAAGCUGGGCUUAGUUGUUCCCUAGAGACCCAUCCCCACCAGAGUCUCAUCUCACUCUGCCUCCCUUUCUCCACAUCCACCCCUUUUGGCCACCACCACCAGGUCCAGA